UACGUAGGGCGCAAGCGUUGUCCGGAAUUAUUGGGCGUAAAGAGCUCGUAGGCGGUCUGUUACGUCCGCUGUGAAAACCCAGGGCUUAACCCUGGGCUUGCAGUGGAUACGGGUAGACUAGAGGCAGGUAGGGGAGAAUGGAAUUCCCGGUGUAGCGGUGAAAUGCGCAGAUAUCGGGAGGAACACCGGUGGCGAAGGCGGGUCUCUGGGCAGUAACUGACGCUGAGGAGCGAAAGCGUGGGGAGCGAACAGG
rnacentral:rRNA from 1 species